CCUACGGGUGGCAGCAGUGGGGAAUAUUGGACAAUGGGCGAAAGCCUGAUCCAGCCAUGCCGCGUGUGUGAAGAAGGCCUUCGGGUUGUAAAGCACUUUCAGUGGGGAAGAAAGCCUUGGGGCUAAUACCCUCGAGGAAGGACAUCACCCACAGAAGAAGCACCGGCUAACUCCGUGCCAGCAGCCGCGGUAAUACGGAGGGUGCGAGUGUUAAUCGGAAUUACUGGGCGUAAAGCGCGCGUAGGCGGUCUGAUAAGCCGGUUGUGAAAGCCCCGGGCUCAACCUGGGAACGGCAUCCGGAACUGUCAGGCUAGAGUGCAGGAGAGGAAGGUAGAAUUCCCGGUGUAGCGGUGAAAUGCGUAGAGAUCGGGAGGAAUACCAGUGGCGAAGGCGGCCUUCUGGACUGACACUGACGCUGAGGUGCGAAAGCGUGGGUAGCAAACAGGAUUAGAUACCCUUGUAGUC
rnacentral:rRNA from 1 species